CGUUUUCUUGGCCCUUACAGCUUGCAUAGGCUAGAUAGGCAACAGUAACGAGAGAUGGCAGACUGAGAGGUUUUCCUAAGUGGAAUCGUUUAUCAGCUGAUACUAUUUUGAGCCGGACUGGAUGGUAUUUUUGAAACGCUCGGCCUGAUAGCUGUUCCGGAUGUUAUAAUCAACAGUCAGCACCGUGCGCAUGUUGAAUCUGCCCAGGAGAGUUUGUCUUCCGAUGCCAGAAGUCCGCCUCUUGAAAUUCCAGUUGAAGCACUACAAACUGUAGUGCUUUCUGGCAUAAACAUCCGAGAUCUAGCGAAUGUGUUUGCUGUAUCACUCAGCACUUUUCGGAGGAGAAUGGCGGAAGAAGGCCUAAGGAUUUCGACUUAUGGAUUCCAUGAGAUGUCAGUCCAGAGUUGUCCCUUUAGACCGCGAGGUGCCCUGUUCCAGGUGCAAACUGCCUUUGGCUUAUCGAUGCAAAUCACAAACUAAUUCGCUGGAGAAUUGUCCAUGGUGGGAUGGAUGCUUUUUGAAGGCUACUUGUCUACCUCCACGCUACCAACACAGCCACAGCUGUUUUUGAUGGUUUCUUGUCAGAAGUCUGGCCAUAUGGCAUACCAUCACAAGUCUGAUCAGACAAAGGGAGGUGAAAAUGUGAAGGUUGUUCACUUCAUGGUCCAGAUGAUGGGGUCAGAACAGGAACUCGCGUUACAGGCAGAAGUGUCCACAACCAGCGCAUUGAGCGGCUGUGGUGAGAUGUGUAUGAAAGUGUCCCGUCCUGCUGGAGGCCCAGGGGCUGCUCAGUCCUGGUGAAGAAUCCGACCUGCUCGCACUGCACAGAUCAUAUUCACCAUCAGCUCUGGUCACUGGUGGUGGCAUGGAUUCAACAAGGACUGAACAGCAGGCAACCGUUCACCCCUGCAGCUGUGGUUACUGCACAGAAAGGAAGAACAAGAGUUUUCACAGGACCGGACCACGUAAUCACCGUCCAUCGACUAUGAUCACCAUUCCUGACAUUCAGCUCCCACUGGCACCAGAUGAUGGAGAACUUGCAGCAUUCCCACUCACUCACUCAAGCUUUGGUAUUUUACUUUGAAAUGGAUUCAACGCUGUAACACUUUGAACCCAGCGGCUGCAAAAUGUGUGACGAUUCUCACUCCUCCUUUUCAGUCGGUGCUCAGGCAGUAUCCUGUAAAGCCUGUACACACUGCCCACUUACGGUCCCAGGUGGAGGAUAAAUAUAAAUCUGCUUCUAAAAGGA